rnacentral:rRNA from 1 species
UACGGAGGGUGCAAACGUUGCUCGGAAUCAUUGGGCGUAAAGCGCACGUAGGCGGUCCAGCAAGUCGGGUGUGAAAGCCCUCGGCUCAACCGGGGAAGUGCAUUCGAAACUGCUGAACUUGAGUAUGGAAGAGGGUCGCGGAAUUCCCGGUGUAGAGGUGAAAUUCGUAGAUAUUGGGAAGAACACCGGUGGCGAAGGCGGCUCACUGGCUCGUAACUGACGCUCAUGCACGACAGCGUGGGGAUCAAAACAGG